GGAGAAGGUGAGGGUCAGACCUGGGAUAAAGAGUUCCAGUGUAAAGGCAAUGAGUCCCUUCUCCUGGACUGUGACAACUCAGACAGAGAGAACAACACCUGCCUACCUGGUAAUGCUGUUGGAGUCACCUGCUCAGAGCCUGAUGAUGUGAGGCUGGUGGGAGGAGGCAGUCGCUAUGCUGUCAACCAGGGAGGGUGGAGGAUGGUGGAGCUGAAGACUGGCCUGCAGCUGCAGUAGUGUGUAGACAGCUGUGCUGUGCAGUGGUACGACCAGGACAGUGGGAGCUGGAGACUGGGGCCUGGCCAGGACGCCUGCAGCUGCAGUAGUGUGUAGACAGCUGUGCUGUGCAGUGGUACGACCAGGACGGUGGGAGCUGAAGACUGGGGCCUGGCCAGGACGCCUGCAGCUGCAGUAGUGUGUAGACAGCUGUGCUGUGCAGUGGUACGACCAGGACAGUGGGAGCUGGAGACUGGGGCCUGGCCAGGACACCUGCAGCAGCAGUAGUGUGUAGACAGCUGUGCUGUGGCUCCACUGUUUCAGAACUACUUGGAAACAUCACUAGAGGGUUUGGAGUUUACUGUUAUGGGAUCUGAACCUUCACUGAGGAAAUGUUGAAGAACACAUGAACUCCUUCGGUGGACUCACCGUGAUCUGCUCAGACCACCAGGAGGCAGAAGAGAGGGAACAGGGUGAGCAGCAUGGAUCUUCAUGUCAAUGCUAUGGAGAUGGACGGAGUAGGAUGAAGCUGAACCUAC